rnacentral:sRNA from 1 species
CUACCACAAGCUGAUCACAGUUCAGACCAAGCAGUGCAAGGCAUGUCCGCAGGGUGCCAGGCACAGUGGUGCCCCAGGGGGUGGCCCCACUCCCGGCCUGGCUCGUGCCUCCUGUGGGGAAGCAGAGCAACUGGCUCGGAGAGGGAUGUGGUCAGACCUGGAGGCCGAGUGCUAUGGGUGCCGCGUUCCUUCCCAGGCCCUCACCCCUCCUUCUCCACCUAGGAGUCGUUCACGCCUACUGAGGAGCAUGUGUUGGUGGUGCGCCUGCUGCUGAAGCACCUGCACGCCUUUGCCAACAGCCUGAAGCCAGAGCAGGCCUCACCCUCCGCCCACUCCCACGCCACCAGCCCCCUGGAGGAGUUCAAACGGGCCGCUGUCCCGAGGUUCGUCCAGCAGAAACUCUACCUCUUCUUGCAGCAUUGCUUUGGCCACUGGCCCCUGGACGCAUCGUUCAGAGCUGUCCUGGAGAUGUGGCUGAGCUACCUGCAGCCGUGGCGGUACGCGCCUGACAAGCAGGCUCCGGGCAGCGACUCCCAGCCCCGGUGUGUG